UACAGAGGUCCCGAGCGUUGUUCGGAUUCACUGGGCGUAAAGGGUGCGUAGGCGGUUUGUCGCGUCGGCUGUGAAAACUCGGGGCUCAACCCCGAGCCUGCAGUCGAUACGGGCAAACUAGAGUGUGGUAGGGGAGACUGGAAUUCCUGGUGUAGCGGUGAAAUGCGCAGAUAUCAGGAGGAACACCGGUGGCGAAGGCGGCUCUCUGGACGGUGACUGACGCUGAGACGCGAAAGCGUGGGGAGCAAACAGG
rnacentral:rRNA from 1 species